UCCCGAGCGUUNUCCGGAUUUAUUGGGCGUAAAGCGAGCGCAGGCGGUUAGAUAAGUNUGAAGUUAAAGGCUGUGGCUUAACCAUAGUAUGCUUUGGAAACUGUUUAACUNGAGUGCAGAAGGGGAGAGUGGAAUUCCAUGUGUAGCGGUGAAAUGCGUAGAUAUAUGGAGGANCACCGGUGGCGAAAGCGGCUCUCUGGUCUGUAACUGACGCUGAGGCUCGAAAGCAUGGGGAGCAAACAGGAUUAGAUACCCUGGUAGUCCACGCCGUAAACGAUGAGUGCUAGGUGUUAGGCCCUUUCCGGGGCUUAGUGCCGCAGCUAACGCAUUAAGCACUCCGCCUGGGGAGUACGACCGCAAGGUUGAAACUCAAAGGAAUUGACGGGGGCCCGCACAAGCGGUGGAGCAUGUGGUUUAAUUCGAAGCAACGCGAAGAACCUUACCAGGUCUUGACAUCCCUCUGACCGCUCUAGAGAUAGAGUUUUCCUUCGGGACAGAGGUGACAGGUGGUGCAUGGUUGUCGUCAGCUCGUGUCGUGAGAUGUUGGGUUAAGUCCCGCAACGAGCGCAACCCCUAUUGUUAGUUGCCAUCAUUGAGUUGGGCACUCUAGCGAGACUGCCGGUAAUAAACCGGAGGAAGGUGGGGAUGACGUCAAAUCAUCAUGCCCCUUAUGACCUGGGCUACACACGUGCUACAAUGGCUGGUACAACGAGUCGCAAGCCGGUGACGGCAAGCUAAUCUCUGAAAGCCAGUCUCAGUUCGGAUUGUAGGCUGCAACUCGCCUACAUGAAGUCAGAAUCGCUAGUAAUCGCGGAUCAGCACGCCGCGGUGAAUACGUUCCCGGGCCUUGUACACACCGCCCGUCACACCACGAGAGUUUGUAACACCCGAAGUCGGUGAGGUAACCGUAAGGAGCCAGNCGC
rnacentral:rRNA from 1 species